rnacentral:tRNA from 1 species
CGAAAUCGGUAGACGCUACGGACUUAAAAAAUCCGUCGACUUUAAAAAUCGUGAGGGUUCAAGUCCCCUCUAUCCCCGUUCAAGUCCCCUCUAUCCCC